GAAUAUUAUUUUAAAGCUUAAAUUAGUUAAAAAGAUAAAUACUUAAAAUUUAAAAAAUUUGGCGGCAAUUUAAUCUUUUCAGAGGAACCUGUUUUGUAAUCGAUAAACCACGUAAAAUCUUACUUGAUUUUGUUAAUUUCAGUUUGUAUACCAUCAUUAUCAGAUAAUUCUUAAAGGAAAAAUUAUCAAAUUUAAUUAUUUAAAAAAAUUAGAUCAAGGUGCAGUUUAUAAUCAAGGUAAAAUGGGUUACAAUAAAUUAUUUUAUUGCGAAUUAACUGAUAUAAUAUUGUUAUGAAGAAGGAUUUGAUUGUAUUUUUAGUUUAGUAAGCUAUAAAGAUAUAAGUUCUAAAUUGUGUACGCACCGCCCGUCACCCUAAAGACGAG
rnacentral:rRNA from 1 species